AGUUGAAGUGGUGAAUCUCCUUCGUCUGGAAGAAGGGAAAACAAGACUCCAGGGGGGACUUUGAUACGCCUCAGUGCUCGAACGGAAAUCAUUUUCCCUUCCUCUCACGACAUUGAUGACUGGCUAUUUCCCUCGACGGAACAAAGGACCUACAAUACUACUAACUUCAAGUCAUUCUUUUGAAGCGUUAAGAGUUCAAAAAUUUAAAAAGUAUCGCUGGAAUCCCAUCAAUAGUUUUCGAGGCUUGCAGGUUUAGCUAAGUCAUACAGAACUAGCCAUCCACGAAAGAAGGGAUGAGAAAGGUACUUACUUUGAGAAGCUACUCCUAGAUGAUACGACGCGGCGGCGGAGGCGGGGCGUUUUUCCUCUCACGACAUUGAUGACUGGCUAUUUCCCUCGACGGAACAAAGGACCUACAAUACUACUAACUUCAAGUCAUUCUUUUGAAGCGUUAAGAGUUCAAAAAUUUAAAAAGUAUCGCUGGAAUCCCAUCAAUAGUUUUCGAGGCUUGCAGGUUUAGCUAAGUCAUACAGAACUAGCCAUCCACGAAAGAAGGGAUGAGAAAGGUACUUACUUUGAGAAGCUACUCCUAGAUGAUACGACGCGGCGGCGGAGGCGGUGCUUUAUUGUGGCCGGACGGCGGAAGAAAUUGAGAACGAUUGCAGGCAGCUGCCACUCUUCUUUUCUGUCAGAAACUGGGGGAGUGGAAGGGAUUUGGGCCCGAAUGAUGGGCCAACUUAUUUUGGCCCGAUUGAGGAAAGGUCGACGCAGACAAAAUGAGCCACUGAACCGUACAAAUACCCUUCAGGUAGAACGACACCGUUAUAAUGCAUUUCAAUGGAAUACCUCCUCGAGGUGGCUGUGAAAAAAAGAAGUUGACGGAAUCAGAAUCAAUCAUCGGACAUAAUACCUUAAAACUCGCAAUCUGGAACCCUGAAUUUACUCUGUUUGCGCUCUAUUUUCGAAGUUCCAAUCCCAGAAACCCACUACCCCAGCAAACAUUUUUUAUGGUGUCUAAACCCUAAAUGACCACACACAUGUCAAGGAAAAUCUGAUCUGAUGACUCAUUUACCUCUACGAAAAUCCAAAGGCUCCUGACAGGAGGGCGGAUCAUCCACUUCACCAUUAUGACGUCAACGUGUAAUAUCACUCAAAACUUGGAAAACUAAAGCCAUAAAAGAAAAUGAUGUCAGGCGUACACUGUUGUAAAGCGAAAGGGGAAGAGAAUUUCGAGAUUCAACGUUGGCGUCGGAAGAAAACUCACUUCCUUCUCGAUCGGAGUAUCGUGAAUAGUAACGACCGAAAGGGAAGGACAGAGAACCUUUUGUUAUUUGGGGAAUGUGAAAAGGCGGAUGGAAAGAGAGAGACAAGCUAUUGGAUUAUUUAAAUUGUUUAACUUCAGUGGGUUCUUUUGGUUCGUGGUUUUUUUAUCGGUUUUCUCGGUUUUCAAAAGUAGCUCGG
rnacentral:lncRNA from 1 species